UUCAGGGAAUUCAGGACUUUUUGUCCCAGUCCAGCCCUGAUGACAGAUCACUAGUUUGAACGUGUGGAGAGAAUACUUCAGACGGAUACAUUACUGACGCUUAAAAGAUACAAAUGGAGAGUAGAACGGAAAUAAUGUGCACAAAAACCAUCUGGAGCAUCAGAAACUACAGACACACAAACACCAACAGCACAGAGAGAGAAAUGGAGGACAGAAGUGAGACACAGACGCCUGGAUCACACAAGAGAAACAGACAGAAACCCAUGAGAUGUGAGAGUAUGGAGAGAACAAAACCAGACCUCUCAUGUGAUCCAGACGGGUCUGUGAAGUUUCACUCAGAUGUUCUGAACACAAGAUCAAUGAUGUCCGGAUACCAGCAGCAGAAGACCAGAUCAUCAUCAUCUUCAUAGUAGUAGAAGAACUUUAUUGUCCCCGUGGGGCGAUUGGGUUUGCAGUGCAGUCUCAAGGCACUACAUGACAACAUAUAACAAAAACAUUACGAUGCAUUACAAAUAAAUGUGUUCGAUGCUUGGUAAUGUUAUCCCAAGUAGCUUGCUAGCAGAAGUGACUGUUUUUCUAAUUAUGUUUUUCUGUGCUUGAGUGGCAUUUCCGAAUCAACAAAUGAUACAGCCGUUAAAACACAUUCAAUAAAAGCAGUAUAAAACAUC